AACGAACGCUGGCGGCAUGCCUAACACAUGCAAGUCGAACGAGACCUUCGGGUCUAGUGGCGCACGGGUGCGUAACGCGUGGGAACCUGCCCUUAGGUUCGGAAUAACUCCCCGAAAGGGGUGCUAAUACCGGAUAAUGUCUUCGGACCAAAGAUUUAUCGCCUUUGGAUGGGCCCGCGUUGGAUUAGCUAGUUGGUAGGGUAAAAGCCUACCAAGGCGACGAUCCAUAGCUGGUCUGAGAGGAUGAUCAGCCACACUGGGACGGAGACACGGCCCAGACUCCUACGUGAUGCAGAAGGGGGGAAUAGUGCAGAACGGGAGGAAGUCGGAUGCAGCAGCGCUGUGAGCGGGAAGACGGCCUGCGGGGUGGAAACCGCGUUCGCCGGUGACGAAGCGGGAGGGACGGGAAUGGAUAAAGAAGCACCGGCUAACUAAGGG
rnacentral:rRNA from 1 species